rnacentral:rRNA from 1 species
AACGUAGGUGGCGAGCGUUAUCCGGAUUUACUGGGCGUAAAGGGUGCGUAGGCGGGCUGCCAAGUUUGGGGUGAAAUCCUCCGGCUCAACCGGGGAAGUGCCUCGAAUACUGGCGGUCUGGAGGGAGGUAGGGGCGUGCGGAACUAACGGUGGAGCGGUGAAAUGCGUUGAUAUCGUUAGGAACUCCGGUGGCGAAGGCGGCACGCUAGACCUCUUCUGACGCUGAGGCACGAAAGCCAGGGGAGCGAACGGG